rnacentral:rRNA from 1 species
AUUGAACGCUGGCGGCAGGCCUAACACAUGCAAGUCGAGCGGUAGAGAGAAGCUUGCUUCUCUUGAGAGCGGCGGACGGGUGAGUAAUGCCUAGGAAUCUGCCUGGUAGUGGGGGAUAACGCUCGGAAACGGACGCUAAUACCGCAUACGUCCUACGGGAGAAAGCAGGGGACCUUCGGGCCUUGCGCUAUCAGAUGAGCCUAGGUCGGAUUAGCUAGUUGGUGAGGUAAUGGCUCACCAAGGCGACGAUCCGUAACUGGUCUGAGAGGAUGAUCAGUCACACUGGAACUGAGACACGGUCCAGACUCCUACGGGAGGCAGCAGUGGGGAAUAUUGGACAAUGGGCGAAAGCCUGAUCCAGCCAUGCCGCGUGUGUGAAGAAGGUCUUCGGAUUGUAAAGCACUUUAAGUUGGGAGGAAGGGCAUUAACCUAAUACGUUGGUGUCUUGACGUUACCGACAGAAUAAGCACCGGCUAACUCUGUGCCAGCAGCCGCGGUAAUACAGAGGGUGCAAGCGUUAAUCGGAAUUACUGGGCGUAAAGCGCGCGUAGGUGGUUCGUUAAGUUGGAUGUGAAAUCCCCGGGCUCAACCUGGGAACUGCAUUCAAAACUGACGAGCUAGAGUAUGGUAGAGGGUGGUGGAAUUUCCUGUGUAGCGGUGAAAUGCGUAGAUAUAGGAAGGAACACCAGUGGCGAAGGCGACCACCUGGACUGAUACUGACACUGAGGUGCGAAAGCGUGGGGAGCAAGCAGGAUUAGAUACCCUGGUAGUCCACGCCGUAAACGAUGUCAACUAGCCGUUGGGAGCCUUGAGCUCUUAGUGGCGCAGCUAACGCAUUAAGUUGACCGCCUGGGGAGUACGGCCGCAAGGUUAAAACUCAAAUGAAUUGACGGGGGCCCGCACAAGCGGUGGAGCAUGUGGUUUAAUUCGAAGCAACGCGAAGAACCUUACCAG